GAUGAACGCUGGCGGCGUGCCUAAUACAUGCAAGUCGAGCGAACAGACGAGGAGCUUGCUCCUCUGACGUUAGCGGCGGACGGGUGAGUAACACGUGGAUAACCUACCUAUAAGACUGGGAUAACUUCGGGAAACCGGAGCUAAUACCGGAUAAUAUAUUGAACCGCAUGGUUCAAUAGUGAAAGACGGUUUUGCUGUCACUUAUAGAUGGAUCCGCGCCGCAUUAGCUAGUUGGUAAGGUAACGGCUUACCAAGGCAACGAUGCGUAGCCGACCUGAGAGGGUGAUCGGCCACACUGAAACUGAGACACGGUCCAGACUCCUACGGGAGGCAGCAGUAGGGAAUCUUCCGCAAUGGGCGAAAGCCUGACGGAGCACCGCCGCGUGAGUGAUGAAGGUCUUCGGAUCGUAAAACUCUGUUAUUAGGGAAGAACAAAUGUGUAAGUAACUAUGCACGUCUUGACGGUACCUAAUCAGAAAGCCACGGCUAACUACGUG
rnacentral:rRNA from 1 species